rnacentral:tmRNA from 1 species
GGGGGUGUCUUGGUUUCGACUGGACGCGCUUAGCGUUAGCGGCAUGUCGAGGAUGAUCGUUGGCCUCGUAAAAAUUCGAUCAAAACUAUAACUGCGAACGAAGAGUACGCACUCGCUGCCUGAUGCGGCGACGCUGCCCCCCAGACGGGUGCUAUGGGUCGGCAGCGACGACAGCGCCCUGGUCAAAUGAAUUUGUCCAUUGACAUUUGACGAGACUCCGAAUUGUGGAAUAGUCAUAAUACCGCCCGUCCGCCGGCGAGGUUGCGUGACGAUAAGCAUUGUAGGCGAAACAAACAUGUAGAUGCUGGCGUAAUGCCAUCACAGGACGCGGGUUCAAUUCCCGCCACCUCCACCA